AUACGUAGGGUGCGAGCGUUGUCCGGAAUUACUGGGCGUAAAGAGCUCGUAGGUGGUUUGUCGCGUCGUCUGUGAAAUUCCGGGGCUUCACUCCGGGCGUGCAGGCGAUACGGGCAUAACUUGAGUACUGUAGGGGAGACUGGAAUUCCUGGUGUAGCGGUGAAAUGCGCAGAUAUCAGGAGGAACACCGGUGGCGAAGGCGGGUCUCUGGGCAGUAACUGACGCUGAGGAGCGAAAGCAUGGGUAGCGAACAGGAUUAGAUACCCUGGUAGUCCAUGCCGUAAACGGUGGGCGCUAGGUGUAGGGGUCUUCCACGACUUCUGUGCCGUAGCUAACGCAUUAAGCGCCCCGCCUGGGGAGUACGGCCGCAAGGCUAAAACUUAAAGGAAUUGACGGGG
rnacentral:rRNA from 1 species